UGCCCGCGAGAUGGUGGUAGUGUAACGUCUGGAACGUGUCUGUAUAAAAAUAGUUAUGCGUCAGGAUAUCAACUUCCGAAGUUGUCUAACUACAGAGUUUUUGUUAAUAUAAUUAAAGAUUGUUUGAGUGGUUCCUGUUACGUGAUGUAUUAGUGUCCUGUGCAUUUUCUACAAGGAUGAAUACUGAACAGGUGGUUCAAGAUUAUAGAAACAAAGGAAAUGCUUGUUUCAAAGCUAAAAGAAUGCUGGAUGCAGUAUUGUUUUACAAAAAAGCUCUGGAGCUGGAUGCAAAAAAUCCGUAUAUAAAUAGCAACUUAGCACAGGCGUAUCUAGAAGAACGUGAUUUUGGGAGGGCAGAAUACCAUGCCAUGAAAGCAAUUUCUGCCAAUAGAGAUUCACCUAAGGGGUACUUCCGAGCUGCAAAAGCAUCUGUAGGUUUACAUAACAAAGACAAAGCAAUAAAGUACUUGAAAAAGGGAAUUGAAGUUUGUAAUAAUUCUGAUACAGAAGAUCUGAGAACUUAUCUGAAGACCUUGUGCGAAGAGCACCCAUCAGGUACAAGAGUUGCUUCCCAAAGUUUACAAGAGGACUUUACUAUGGUUAAUGAUGUUCCAUCCCAGAGCUCAGAUUCUGACUCCGCUGAGUACAUACAAACUGGCAAACUGGGAAGUCAAUCCAUAUCCAGAAUGUCUGCAGCAACUUUCUCGGACAUAAAUAAGGCUUCCUUUAUUAAACAGCAUAAUGCUAGUUUGUUCCAAACCAGCAGUGAUGAUGUAAACAUUGAAGCAAACAAGAAGCCUAAGAAGAAAAAGAAGAAGGGAACUAAUGUGGAAGGGAAUCCCUUUAUGGCCAGAUUGGAAAGUAUAAAAAAGGAGCUGGACAUAAAAGAAGUGACAUCAGAACAGUUUUGGAAAAUGCAACGAAAUGAGUUUCAGUCACUCCUGAAGGAGGGGUCUGAAGUAAUGGCAAGUGGAUUGCCAAGAAAAGCAGUUGAAAAAUAUAAAACUGCUUUAGACAUGAUCCUUGAUCAUUCUGUUGAGGAUUUUAGAAUAAAAGAAAUAGACGUAAUUGUUUUAAAAUAUUCGUUGUGUGUUGGGUGGAUUGACCUUGCCAAUUAUGAAGACAUUGUUAAAGCAGUGGAAUACUUAAAUGAUAUUGAAGAAAAACGUUCAUCGAAAUUUCCUGCUGUGUUUUAUGGCUUGGGAAGUGCGUAUUAUAAAUUAAACAGAUAUAAAGCAGCAGUGGAACAUCUGGAGAAGGGUUUGUUAUUUUUGAAGCGAGAAGUUAAAUUUGAAGUUCAUCCCUGGCCUGGAACUAACAACAUUAUUCAAGAAACAACAAGAAGUUUCCUUCAGGAAGUUCUCACAGAACUACUUAAAACUUGCCGUGCUUACCAUGAACCCGAUGCAAUUUGUAGGUACAGUCAGUGUCUUACUCUUAGUUCUCAUAUCAUUCCAUCGGAACAUAUUUUCUACAGUGAUCCGGAUUUUUCUGGUUUUGUUGUCAUAAUUUGUCAAGAAAAGUGUAGAAUAGAAUACCAUUUGACAUGCUGGAAAGAAUAUAAAGAAGCUGUGUUGUCCAAUAAAAUUGGAAAGUUAUCCGACAAGGAUUUUAUAGGCAGAUGUUGCCCGACGACAGAUUGCGUCACCCAAGGAAAUAAACGUUCAGUAAUAACAAAAAUAGAGAUCGUGGGUGAUGACACAACCAUCAAGACUUCCAUUGAAGCUCCAAAGACAGAAACAGCUAUUAAAGAUUUGAAGAAAAUGAAGAAGAAGAAGGGUGAAAAGAGUGCUGAAAUUACUGUUCAGGACAAGGCAAAAAUUAAACGUCCUCAAAAAAUAAAGAAAAUUAUUUCUUAUACAAUACAAGUAGCAUCACAAGAAACGCAGGCGGCCAACUCAGCGGAGGAGUUGGCAACCCAACUCGAGAACCUCCAGCUUUUAAGAGAUUCUAAUUUUGGAUGUACAGAUAAUAAUUGGAAUCUGAAAGAAAAUUCUUACGACAGUGAAAAUAUACAACACUUGGAUCAUUUUUUGAGCCCAGAGGAGGAACCUCUUCAACCAAAAAAAGAGUUUGUUUUCUCGUAUUUCUAUGAAUUAUUACGAAAUGAAGGGCCACAAAAGAUUAAAGUGAUUGAACAGAAGUGGCAGAAUGAAAGUGGUGAAUUUGAAGGAAUAAAUGAUAUUGUGACGUCACAUGCUAGUAUCUGCAGCUUCCUACUUCAGUCAUAUCGCUUUGUUUCUAUUGACGACUACAUCUGCCUUGCAGAGCAGAAGGCUGCAGUUUAUAAUAUGGUAAAGACAGAACUUGUGGAGAGCUUGUUCUUUACUUUGACAGGACUUUCAAAUUAUACAGAAUCUUUAACUGAUAUGUCACAACAGAAUAGUAAUGCUGAAGUCGAGCCACCAAGCCAUACUAGUUCCAAUAUGGACUUAAGCACACACAGCCUUGAUAGCAAAUCAGCUGUUGAGACCGUGCUGUCGACAUUUGUCGAUGAACCUUCAGCAAGUACCAACAGUGCUGAAGCAUUUAUUCCUCAUGCUGAAGUGGUUGAUGACGUUGAAGAUCCCGAUAUCUGUACUGUAGAAGGUAAUGUUUUUGGAACUGAUAAAAGACAUUUGACUUCCGUGAGUGAAAGUGUUAUAAGUGAGGGAGAAAAAGUGGAUUCAUUCAUAAGUGACAACAGUUGUGAUGAUUCUGACAAGAUUGACAGUAGAAGUGAUGAAGUUGCUGAUGAUGGUGGCGCACAGUGGGAGGAGAAUAUUGUAAGGAAUGCGGAAGAGGAGGAUGGAAAGCUUAAAGAAGCGGAAGAGAAUAAAGGUGUUGAGGAAAAUGUUGACAAAAAAUUAAAUGUUGAUGCUAGUGAGUUUAUAUGUCCAGCAAAAAUAGUUCCAGAGCAAGAGGAAUUGGCCUUUUAUCCUGAAGGAGAUGAUGGACCAGAAAUAACUGAGAGAAGUGUUUCAGUUUCAGAUGAAAGAACAGAGUUUCUUGGUACGGCCUCAGGGUAUAAUGCUUCGGGUACCAAAGACCUAGCAGUACAUGUAAGUUCUGCCUCCUCAAGAAGAACAUAUUUUCCUGCAGUUGUACAGCAUCCAGUACCAUACUACCAAACAUUGUGUUCGUCUCCAUUUCCUUCACUGCAGUUGCCUUGGCAUGUACAUCACUUCUCUUAUGGUUACUUGGGUAUGGUCCCUGUUCCUGUCACGUUCAGACCUUCACCAUACCCACUUCCAUUUUCACAUCGGCCAUUAAUUGUGCAACCCAAAGUGUGCAGUAUUCAGAAGAUGGAACUGAGUGACACCAGUGCCCAGACACUUAGGGACGAAAUAAGUACUUUAGAAAGUACAGUGAAGAAACCGGAAAAGGAGUUAAAGGAUGAGAAGAUUUUAGAAUCAAAAUUGGAACAACAAAAUCAAAAAAUCAAGAAAUUGGAGUUGGAGCUGGCUAAGGUUCUGGAAGAAAAGAAAACAGAUUUUGGAAUACUUAUAAAGGAACUAAUCAAGAAGGAAGAAGAAUGUGAAGCAUUAAAGACCAGGUUUGAAGAAGAAAAGAAAGAAAGACAAAUAACAGAAAACAACACAAUGACCAUUAUGAGAAAUCUGAUAAGUGAAACUGGGCAGAAAGUGAAAGAACUAGAAGAGGAAUUGACAUUGACAAAAAGGGAUUUGGCACAGUACCAGCAUCUCGUUCUCAUAGCUAAGAAGGAGGCGGGAGUGCUACAAAUCAGUUUCUUGAAGAAGAAAUGUUUGGACACAUUGCAAGCCAUGAGGUUGCAGGUGAAAUACCUCACAGAAUCUAGUACCCCCAAUAAGACUGAAGUUACAACAGCUAUCAAGAAUUGGGAGCAAUAUUUUGACAAUGUUGCUGAUCAUGAAGUUCAAUUCACAGUUAAUUGCACAGAACUGAAUGAAAAAGUAGGAAAAAUUACUGUAGCAGACUUUGUUAAACUGGACUGGACAGAUCUUCCUCAAGAACCCAGUUGUCCUGUGGACACACUGGAAGUAAUUAUUCAAAAAGCUUUAGAGGAGCAACAGGAUUUGAAGGGGAAACUUAUAGCACAAGAUAAGGAAUUGGCCCAAAUGAAAUUGGAACGGCAGAAGGCAGUAGAUGAUCUCGCAUUUGUCGAGCAGCAAGCACUGAAACUCAGAAAAGUAAUAAAAAAUAGAAGUGAAGUAAUUGAAAAUACUUUAAUGAAUAAAGACACGGCAUUACCACCAAGUGAAACAAUGCUGAAAAUGAGUGAGGUAGAUAAGAAAGAGGACUCCUCAGAUUCAAAGAUAGAAGAAAAAUUUAAACAAAUUCUUGAAACAUUGGUGAGGUCAGAUGAGAAGAACUUUGAACAGAAUGGAUGUUCACGUGUUCACGUACCAUCAUCACCAGUUACUUGUGCAACAGGUGUGCCCCUGUUACAGCAUUCCACACCAGUCUAUGGUUAUCAACCUAUGUUACACAGUCAAUCAUAUUUUUAUAAUACCCCGCAAACAGCUUAUCCACUGCCAAUGGCGAUGCAGUAUGGACAGCAACAGGGACCACCAGUUAUCAGUUCAGGCCCAGCUCUCUGGCCCCCCGCUCCUCGUGUUCCUCAGGCUUCCAUAGGAACUGACAAGGCUUCAGUACAACAGCAACCAGAAGCCAAGCUUGCACCAAGUUUAUCUCGUACUGAGAUCCCUAAUAGUGCGGCAAGUGCUACAAUUGCAGCAGAUAAGUUACAUUUGCCAUCAGAAAGUAAAGUAGUACCAGUGGAAAAGAAAUUGCCAUCAUCAGCUUUUGGGUUGACUCCAGUUGCAAAUACUAUGCCACCAAGUACAUCUGCUUUUGGAACAGACCAGCUGAAAGAUACUCCAAGUGUAGCGUCAUUUUUUAAAAUCUCACCAUCAACAGCUGAGGUGCCAAAACAAGAACUUCACCAGAUGUCAAAGCCAGCUGAAACUCCAAAACCUUUAUUACAGACAUCAUUGAACAUAUCAACAGCUUCUCCUCUUGAGCCAAGGCCUAACAUUACAUCAGCACUAAAACCAAAGACAAAAAGCAGCUCACAUAAACUCAUGGACAAGCUACUCAAGAACUUCCCAGAUAAAACAGAGGAUGAGCUGUCUUCGUAUGUUAAAAUAGUACGUGAAAGGAGUAACAAUUCUUUAACAGGCUUUACUCUGCCAAAAAUAAUUGAUAUGGUGGAUAAAGUUCGAAAAGAGAAAGAAAGUAAGAAGCAAGGUUCGAUGGGUCUGGACAAAUUUGGUGGUACUGCAUGGAGUGGAGUUCAUAAUUCUGCAUCGGUCUGGUCAAAAUCAAAUGAGAGUUUAGAGGAGGAAUGUAGUAUUUGUAUGGAGUCCAUGGAUAAAGACCAGACCUCCUUGCAUUGCAAACAUUCUUUCCAUACUAAGUGCAUAAAACAAUGGCUUCACACAGAGAGUAUUUGCCCAAUCUGCCGUGUGUUCACACGUAUGGCUGAUGAGUUCCCACCGUUGUCUUAAGGACAAAUGACGUUAGUAUCAUUUUUGUCUUCAGUGUAUAACUAGAUGGCUUCAGAAAGGAGGUGUGUGUCCACUCUGCAGAACAGUUGAUGAAUAUCCACCUUUGUCAUGAAGACUUCAUGUGCCACAUGAAGACAGUAUAAUAAAAAAAUUUGAAGUUAUUAUUUUGUGUGUGUGUGCAGUUUCAAGUUCCACCAGUGUUGAUUAUGCUUCAAGACAGGUUGCUGAACAUAUCCAAAUGUAGUUGAUUAACAUGUCAAAACGUUUAUUGUAAUUUAUGUUAGAAUAGAUUGUAAAUGGUGUGGGUGCCUAACUGACCCUUGCACUGCGACCAUUUCUUAAUGUUUUUUGCAUGCCCAUUCACUUUAUCUGCCAGCACCUUCCAUGAAGUACAGUAUUGUACAUAGGAUCUAAAACAGCUAUGUUAAAGAGAUCUUUUAUUGGUGGCCAAAACAAGGCCUCUCUAGGUCUCAUGAAGUCCCAGGUUCUUUGUAGAGGAUUAGCUUCUUUAACAGGGUUCUGUCCUCAAACCUGGGCCUUUCAAGCACACCGAUCAUGGUCUUUCUAGACUUAUGUAGUGCCACAUAUCCUAUUUCAUAUGUUACUUUGGCUCUUCAUGGUUUUAAGCUUCCUCCUGGCACUUCCAGACACUUGGUCUAUGCCAGAUAACUUUAAUGGGUAUAUUUGUAGAUGUCCUGAUCUCUGGGUUUGCUGGAACCAUUAGCUCUCUGUGGUGGUGUACCAGAACUUUCACAGGUAUGCUAGAAAUGCCAGCUCUCUGUGGUGGUGUAACAGGGCCAUUGGCUCCCAGAAAGGUGACAUCUAUAAAUGGUAAAGGUAGGUUUCUUACAACUGGUGAGUAGCUGUCCCCGGUUGUCUUCUCAGCUUCCCUGGGUUGGCUGAUACUGUUAGCUCAUGAGAAUAAUCAAUGUACAGAUGUCAGAGAACUCCUUUAUACCCCAUAUGGGUGGAAAGAUAUGAUGGGAUGCUGCGCAGUGCCUAAAAGGGGUUGCUAAAGACACUAUUAUCACCAUCCCAGAGCCAUACAGCCCUCAGCACAAUAUCUCCCACCUCGGCUUUGGUAGACCAAAACCGUGUUCAUCCAAAAAUGUUACCUCCGUAACAUGGAUACCAAGGGUUGGAUUUUAGAUGGGGUAAUUUAUGUUAUGCUGAUGUUUUCAUUUUCCCAAAGUUAUGAUGCUUCUGUUCAAGUAACUGGAUUAGAGAGUGCAAAUAUAUCAUCACUUACCCAUAUUAAGGAUGUGAUUUCCCAGAUUAUUUACAUUGGUUUGCUGUUUGAAUUAUAUAUUUUUUAAGUUUGCUUUCAACAUGUUAUGCAUUCUAAAGGUUAUGGUUUGUGGCUAAUGUAUUUUUGCUUUUUAUUUUAUGUAAUUAACUUGUAACUAUUUACUUGGAAAUACAUAGCUUUCCAAACAUU